GGCCGCGACCAUACCAUGUUGGAGACGACGGUUCUCGUCUAAUCACCAAAGUUAAGUAAACUUGGGCCCAGUUAGUACUUGCAUGGGUGACCGGCCGGGAAUAACGGGUGUUGCGGCCG
rnacentral:rRNA from 1 species